AGUAAACCCUAACUUUUAAUUUCCCCUUUCUCACUCUCUCUCUCAAAAUAUUAUUUCCCCUUUCUCUCUCCAAUGUUGAAGCAGCUCGGCCGUCGUCCUCAUCCUCACUCCCGCAACUCCAUUGAAGCAGCUCAGUUAUCAGCUCAAGCUUCGUUUUCUCUCUUUCUAUUUAUUUAUAAACUCACUUUACUUCUUCUUGUUCCCCUUCUUAGGGUUGUCGAUGCGUUACCAAAUCAAGUGAAUGGAACUUGGAUAUGAAUACAUACGAAUACAUACUUGUUUUUCUCUGAAACCCUACAUCACCAAAGACAAUUCUCCAGUUGAAGCAUACAUAAAUUAAAGUUGUGAACCCAGAUUUAUUAAGGAGCGGAAAGAGAAAGAUCCAAAGAUGGAUGUAGCAGUUGCAACUAACUUUGCUGCAUUACCAUGAAGAUUAGGACGCGAAAGUGUUGUCAAAGCCUUAAAGGAUCCUCUCAGUCGCCUAGAACUCUCGUCUGUGGAGCUGUAUCAACUACACUGGAUUUUUGUCAAAGGACAGCCCCGUAUGAUGUUGACGAGUUGAAUGUGGUUCGAGAACAGUGGGCGCAAUACUUUAGAAGUAAAUAUUUAUUGAAUGCUUAACUAUUAGCUUAGGUAGAACAAAGUAAUAUUAUUAGUGUUGUUGUAUGUGUUGGAUAAAUUUAUACAAGUUUUUAUUUGUAAUGUAUUACUACUUCAAUUUUUAUAUUACGCUAUAUUAAUUUUUAUGAAA